rnacentral:rRNA from 1 species
AACGUACGCUGGCGGCACGCCUAACACAUGCAAGCCGAACGAAGUAGCAAUACUUAGUGGCAGACGGGUGAGUAACAUGUAGGUAUCUGCCCUUUGGCCUGGAAUAACACGAGGAAACUUGUGCUAAUACCGGAUAAGUCUUUACGGAGAAAGCUUUAUGCACCAUUGGAUGAGCCUGCACUUGAUUAGUUUGUUGGUGGGGUAAUGGCCUACCAAGACUGUGAUCAAUAGCUGAUUUGAGAGGAUGAUCAGCCACAUUGGGACUGAGACACGGCCCAAACUCCUACGGGAGGCAGCAGUGGGGAAUCUUGCACAAUGGAGGAAACUCUGAUGCAGCGAUGCCGCGUGAGUGAAGAAGGCCCUUGGGUUGUAAAGCUCUUUCGUCGGGGAAGAAAAUGACUGUACCCGAAUAAGAAGGUCCGGCUAACUUCGUGCCAGCAGCCGCGGUAAUACGAAGGGACCUAGCGUAGUUCGGAAUUACUGGGCUUAAGGAGUUCGUAGGUGGUUGAAAAAGUUAGUGGUGAAAUCCCAGAGCUUAACUCUGGAACUGCCAUUAAAACUUUUCAGCUAGAGUAUGAUAGAGGAAAGCAGAAUUUCUAGUGUAGAGGUGAAAUUCGUAGAUAUUAGAAAGAAUACCAAUUGCGAAGGCAGCUUUCUGGAUCAUUACUGACACUGAGGAACGAAAGCAUGGGUAGCGAAGAGGAUUAGAUACCCUCGUAGUCCAUGCCGUAAACGAUGUGUGUUAGACGUUGGAAAUUUAUUUUCAGUGUCGCAGGGAAACCGAUAAACACACCGCCUGGGGAGUACGACCGCAAGGUUAAAACUCAAAUGAAUUGACGGGGACCCGCACAAGUAGUGGAGCAUGUGGUUUAAUUCGAAGAUACGCGCAGAACCUUACCAACACUUGACAUGUUCGUCGCGACUCUAAGAGAUUAGAGUUUUCGGUUCGGCCGGACGAAACACAGGUGCUGCAUGGCUGUCGUCAGCUCGUGUCGUGAGAUGUUGGGUUAAGUCCCGCAACGAGCGCAACCCUCACUUUUAGUUGCCAUCAUUAAGUUGGGCACUCUGAAAGAACUGCCAGUGAUAAGCUGGAGGAAGGUGGGGAUGACGUCAAGUCCUCAUGGCCCUUACGUGUUGGGCUACACACGUGCUACAAUGGUAUCUACAACAGGAAGCAAGACUGCGAAGUUAAGCAAAUCCCUAAAAGAUACCUCAGUUCGGAUUGCACUCUGCAACUCGAGUGCAUGAAGCUGGAAUUACUAGUAAUCGUGGAUCAGCGUGCCACGGUGAAUGCGUUCCCGGGUCU